CAGCCGCGGUAAUACAGAGGGUGCGAGCGUUAAUCGGAUUUACUGGGCGUAAAGCGUGCGUAGGCGGCUAAUUGAGUCGGAUGUGAAAUCCCCGAGCUUAACUUGGGAAUUGCAUUCGAUACUGGUUAGCUAGAGUGUGGGAGAGGAUGGUAGAAUUCCAGGUGUAGCGGUGAAAUGCGUAGAGAUCUGGAGGAAUACCGAUGGCGAAGGCAGCCAUCUGGCCUAACACUGACGCUGAGGUACGAAAGCAUGGGGAGCAAACAGGAUUAGAUACCCCCGUAGUCCCUGUCUCUUAUACACA
rnacentral:rRNA from 1 species